AUAUGUCCCAAAAGUAAUAAUGCAAUUCUUAAUUGCAGCAGCACAACAGAUAUAUAAACAUAGAAGUCAUUUGGAUGAACAGUCAGAAGUUCUAAGGAAAAUUCUAACCCCUUUUUUCUCCUUUCCUUCAACAUUGUGGUAAGCGGAUUUGGGCAGAAUAUCAGAGCAAAAUUCUAACUGAUGGCUUGUGGCCUUGAUUUGUUACAGCAUUGAAUGUACAAGGUAGAUUUAAAGUCCUAUGCCUGGACUAAUACAGAAUAUUAUUGUCGCCAUGUGAGUUUGGCCCCUUUCAUCAGUAACUCUGGAGUCAUCACUGGACUGCGAUGAAAGGCACUUUGAUACAGAGCAGUGCAACCCUGCCUUGAAUUAAAAGUAUGUUGUGUCUCUGCUGGUUUGAUUCACAGUUAUUUUUUUUUCUUGCUCUCCCUUUCUGUUAUUUCCAAAAUCCCUCGCACUGGAACAGAUGGACAUGGCUUCAGGGGAAAGUGGGAAGCUUGGAAGAUGGUUUCCGGAUCUCUCUUGAAUAUAAAGGAAACAGCCGGAAGAACUGGGAGCUAACGGCUUUGGACUCAGUUACCCUGAAGAACUGCCAUGAAGGUCCUUUGACAGGCUCCAGGACAACGCUUGAGGGAACGUUCAGUUGCUGGAAUGGGGUAGCUAUUAAACUGAGGCAGCUCUGCGAUUUCACUGAGGACUGCAGCAAGGCAGAAGAUGAAGGAGCAGUGUGUAGUAACCUUCCAGCCGGCUCACACUGUUCGUUCGAAGAAGAUGAUUGUGGGUGGUUUUCAGUGGCAUCCGAGAUGUAUGAACCAACGUGGACAGUGAAAGACGCACGAUCUUCCAGUGAAGAACCAGGGAGAAAAUCAUGUUAUUCCGAAGGCCAUUUUCUGUUCCUCGACACCAAAGAGAUUCAGACAACUGAUUUCAAUGAGUUGAGAAGUAUGAUUUUUCCAUCUCCCAUUAGGAAUUCUCCCUGUGAGGCAAGUGCAUUGUUUCUGUUUUACUCAGAGGUUCAUUGCUAUUAACAUCGCUGUUAGGUUAAGCCUAGAAUUUGUUCAACGCAUUGUGAUUGGUGCUAAUGUAGUAUUUCUGAAUUCAUAUUUCAGAAAUAUGAAUUCAGAAUUCACUUCAUAUUCACUUUAAAUAAUCAUAAAGUUCAGUACUGGGAUGUGUACAGUGGGAUUGAAGGAAUGUGUACAUAAAGCUCCCUUUCCCAAUAUUUUUCCAUUUCUUUUUGCACACCUGAUCAAUUCUGCAGGGAGUGUGCUUGUGGGAUAUUCAUCAAGAACUUAGGACAUUCCUUAGGAAGUACUGCUCAAACCAGAAAGAUUUGAGGUCAUCAAAUAUAUUUAUGCAUUUGGUGUAAAAAAAUAUUGCCUAUUGUGCAUUAAGAUCAUUCCCUUACAAGAAUUACCAUCAGGAUAGUUCCAGUUACAGAUAGAACGCCUAUUAAGAAAUAGUCAUACAGCGUGGAAACAGGCCCUUUGGCCCAACGUGCACACGCUGACCAACAUGCCCCAUCUAAACUAGUCCCACGAGUCUGCUUUUGGCCUAUCAACUACCUCCUCCAGUAGCGUGUUCCGUACACCCACCACCCCUUGUGUAAAAAAGUUACCCCUAAGGUUCCCAUCAAAUCGUUGCUCCCUCACCUUAAACCUACUAAAUCUGGAAGUUUGAUCUUGCCUGUAGGCACUAAAUGUCAUAGACAUAAAAUCAUUCAGCAUGGAAACUGGCUCAACUUAUCCAUGUUGACCAGGAUGCCUCAUCUAUGCUAAUGCCAUUUGCCCAUGUUGAGUCCACAUCUCUCUAAACCUUUCCAAUCCAUGUACGAGUCCAAGUGUCAUUCUAUCUGCCUCAACUACCUCCUCUGGCAACUCGUUUCAUAUACCCAACAUGUGAGUAAAAUAUUGCCCCUAAGGUCUGUGCUAAAUCCCGCCUGUCUCACCUUAAACCUAUGUACCCUGGUUCUUGAUACUGUAAUGCCUACCCAUUAAGAUCUUCUAAAAUUCAGUUAUAGUGACGUGAAAUGUCAGAAUGGAAUUAAUCUCAUCACAUUUAUUAGACAUGUGAGGAUUUUAUUAAACUUUAUCUUUUUUAUAAAUGAACUCUGGUGAAUCAAAUCUAUCUACUCCUCACUUGGUGGGAAAAAGCACCACUUGGGGUAUGUGAGUGAUGUUGCUGGUCUCCUGCCUGAGUACCGUCGGUUGUCCCUGUGGUGGUGGAAGGAUACAACAUGGUAUUUAUGUGAAACGAACUGCUUAUAGACUCAUUGAGUCAAACAACAUGGAAUCAGGCCCAUUGGCUUUGCCCACGUCGAUCAAGAUGCCCCAUCUCGCUAAUCCCAUUUGCCCGCAUUUGGCCCAUACCCCUCAAAUCUUUCCUAACCAUGUGCCAGCCCAAGUGUCAUUUAAAUGUUGUCACAGUAUCUACUUCAACUACCUCCUCUGGCAAAGAUAGGCACAGAGUGCUGGAGUAAAUCAGUGGGUCAGGCAGCAUCUCUGGAAAAAAAGGAUGGGUGUUGUUUCGGGUUGGGACCCUUCUUCAGACUGAAAAUAGGGGGGAGGGGGAAAUGAAGAGCUGGAGGCAAGAAAAGACUUUCAUUCUGAGGAAGGGCCCUGAACCGAAACAUCAUCCAUCCUUUUUCCUCCAGAGAUGCUCCUUGACUCAAGUUACUCCAGCACUCUGUGUUUACCCUUGGUAUAAACCAGCAACUGCUUGUUCCAUACACCCACCAUCCCCACCACCCACUGCAAUGUUCAAUCAAAUCCCUCCAAAAAACAAAAUCCAUGCAUUGAACCCUCCACCUUGCACACAGAAACAAAAGCUGCUUUGUUCAAUAAGAUUUAAAACAGAAUAAAUAUUGAACAAGUGCAUGUUUUCACAAUAACGUACUAUAAAUUUACCGGCUUGGCAGUGUUUUUGAGUCUUUGACUCGAUUUAAGGCUUUGAGUUAUCUCAAAAGGCAAAGCUAUGACACUAUAUUUUGUCUAGAAUGUGUUACCAACAACAUCUGUGAAUAAAACAUCUGAGCAUAUUUCUCAAUAUGCCACGACAGAUUCUAGAAGUAGUCAGAGAGUCAUACAGCAUGGAAACAGAACCUUCAGCCCAACUUGCCCACACCAACCAAUAUGCCCCAUCUACACUGGUCCCACCUGCCUGCAUUUGACCUAUAUCCCUCUAAACCUGUCCAAUCCAUGUACCUGUCUAAAUGUUUCUUAAAUGUUAUGAUAGUACCUGCCUCAACUACCUCCUACUGCAGCCCGUUAUAUGUAUCCUCCAACCUUUGCGUAAAAAUGUUACCCCACAGGUUCCUAUUAAAUCUUUCUACUGUAACCUACACCUAUGGUUCUCUAUUCCACUACUAUGUGCAUUUUCACGAUCCAUUCCUCUCAUUAUUUUUUGAACACCUCUAUAAGAUCACCCCUCAUCGUCCUGGGCAUCAAGGAAUAGAGUCCUAGCCUGCUCAACAUCUCCCUACAGCUCAGGCCAUCAAGAUCUGGCAACAUCCUAGUAAAGGCAAAACAUCUGAGUCACGGUGGCACAGCGGUCGAGUUGCUGCCUUACAGUGAAUGCAGUGCCAGAGACUCGGGGUUCGAUCCCGACUAUGGGUGCUGUCUGUACAGACUUUGUACGUCCUUCCCGUGACCUGCGUGGGUUUUCUCCGAGAUCUUCGGUUUCCUCCCACACUCCAAAGACGUACAGGUUUGUAGGUUAAUUGGCUUGGUAAAUGUAAAAAUUGUUCGUAGUGUGUGUAGGAUAGUGUUAAUGUGCCGGGAUCGCUGGUCAGCGCGGACCCGGUGGGCCAAAGGGAAUGUUUCAGCACUAUAUCUCUAAACUAAACUAAAUCUUCUCUGCUUGACAACAUCUUUCCUAUAACAUGGUGCCCAAAACUGAACACAAUACCCAAAAUUAUAUAACUGCAACAUGACCUCCCAACUUCUUUACUCAAGACUCUAAGUACAGUAUCUUACUUUUACUUUAAUUGACCAAACCUAUGUAUUUCUGUGCCAAAAAAAGCCAACAGCAGCCUUUUCCCACACUGAGAUUGGUUAGGUUUCAAACACUAUUACUGAAAGCUUAUAUUUCCAUGAGCGGGCACAAGUCAGGGAAAAAGAAUGGGCAGCUGUAAUUGCUUUCAGCAGGCAAAACAUCAGUUUAAUCAUGUAACAGAAAAAUGUAUUUUUCCAUAGUAUUUAUCAUACCACAGGUAUACCGCUUAUUACUGUGGCAUUUUGAAAAGACAAACCAAGCUGAAAUCUGAAAAUCCAGUAAAGGGGAAUUGACUAAUUAAUUCAUCUCUGUUUCAAGCCUUGCACUUAAGAAGCUAAUUACUUUUCAGCUGUAAAGACCAAGUUUGACAAGUGCACACGUUGUACAUCGUCAGCUCCACACAAUCCUUGUGCUGAAAUUUAACCAUUCAAACAGCGCUAGCUAUUUAACACUACCAACACCGACUGAACUUCGAACUACAUACUGUCUUGGUUCUAGAAGUUAUAGAAACAGAAUUAGGCCAAUCGGCCCAUUAACUCUAUUUCAACAUUCAAUCAUGGCUGCUAUAUCUUUCCCUCGCAAUCCCAUUCUCCUGCAUUCGCCCCAUAACCCCUGAACCCGUACUAAUCAAGAAUCUGUCAAUCUCCACCUUAAAAAUAUCUAUAAACAUCCUCCACCGCCUUCUUUGGCAAUGGACUCCAUAGAAUCACCACCCCCUGACUAAAUAAAUUCCUCCUCAUCUCUUUUCUAAAGUUACGUCCUGUUAUUGUGAGGCUGUAGCCUCUGGUCCUAGACUCCACCGCUAGUGGAAACAUGCACGUCUUUGAGACGUGAGAGGAAACUGGAGCACCCGGAGGAAACCCACACAGUCACAGGGAGAACGUGCAAACUCCACACAGACAGCAUCUUGGUUCAGGAUCAACACCGAGUCUCCAGCCCUGUGAGGCAGCAGCUCAACCUGAUGCUAAAUUAAACUAAACUAAACUAAUCUUCCCUCAGAACCACCACGAAAUUCAAUAAACUCCUAGCCCACUUUCUCGAUUGAUCAGUAUUCCAUUCACCAAUCAUCAUUGUAGCCACUAUUAAGUAUCUCUGCCCACCAGACCCCUUGACCUUAAAACUGUGCGGCUCAAGAAGGGAGCUCCCCAUGUUUCAAGGGAAUAAAAAUAUUCAGGUCAAGAAUAAUGAAAAGAUGCAGACCUCCUAUUAUUCUUCAGGUAUCUGAAAUUCCACUGAGCUGCCAAGUAGUUGUUUCAGGGCCAGGAAUAUAAAUCAGAUAAGCUUUUAAAUAUGCAAGAGGUAGACAACUGUGACAGAACAAAGGAAUGUAAUGUCUAAGCAUAUGAAUCCUUAAUGCACAGGUAUAGAAAGAAUACCCAGAAUGGCUAAUGGACUGUUUACCUUUAUUUCAGAGAGUUGUUGAAAGCCUUGAUCAGCCAGUCAGUGCUAUGCAAUGAAACAUCGCAUAGCUGUAAAGUUAUAUUAAGUAAUGCACAAAUCAUAACAAAAAAAAUAUUUUGCCUUCUGGCAUUUCAAGAAGCCAUUUGCACACAGGUACACAAGGGAAAUAAACAGAAGCUGCACAAUUGUGCCAUCUCUUCGUUUAAUUAUUUUUGUGUAAAAUGUGGGGGCUUAAUGAAGUCGAGACAUGCAAUAGCUGCAAGCUCUUCUCCUCGAUAAGUGUAGAAGUUCACUGAAUUGGCAAUGUGCAGAGACCAGAGAGACGGAGCCUGGUUUCCUUGCCUUCCUCCCUGCACCAAUGCUGCACCUGUUCCCUAAGUUCAGGUGAUUGGAAGUCAUCCCUGCAGUGAACUAUUAGUUUAACAAGGAGGCAUGUCAGCAUCGUGUUAAUGAAAUAAAAACUAAAAUAACCUCUUCAGAGCUUCAAUGCUUAAGAUCAGCUCUAUAAGCUCACGACUCGCCACUCACAACAAAUUAAUGAUGUUCAAGAAAUGGGCAGUAAGUGAGUAAAUAGAUAACUCACUGUUCAAUACUUCUUCAUGCCCUCAGGCCUCCAGCUUGGUGGCAAUUGCAAUUGACUGACUCAUCUGUUUGCCAGCUAAUAUUAAAAGUGAUAAGAGAAACAUUAAGAUAAUUGAUAUGACCAAUAUGUAGCGAAAGGAAUACUAACAUUUAAUUGUAGGACAUUUCAUGGAAGUAUACAUGCUUUCUUUUGUUCAGACUACUGAUAUUAAUCUUAAAUCCAUGCACUACAUUGGGACCCAGGCACUUCAGAUCAGUUUCAGGUUCCAUUAACAAAUAUGAAGUAGAUUUUUUCUGACCUUUUUCCUCUCACCCACCAACGUGCUUCCUUGUCAAACAGAAAGCUUCAAGGAACAGCUUCUUCCUCUCUGUUAUCAGGAUUUUGAACAGUCCUUCCAUUACCCAGGGUAGUGUCUGAUUCACCUCAACCCCAUUGCGCAAAUUGGACUUUGUCUGUGGAACUGAUGCGCUACAAUGCCAAGAACUAUACUCCUUGUACUUGAGUUUGACGAUUGUAUUUAUGCAUGGUAUUAUCUGAUCUGAUUGGAUAGGAUGCAAAAACAAUUUUCACUGUACCUCAGUACACAUGACAAUAAUGAACCUAAAUCUAAACCUGAAACCUAAUGGCAUUUCAAACCUGUAGACAAUUGGGACAGAAGAAAGGAAGUGAGGGUCUAACCAUAUGAAUGCUUAAUGCACAGGCGUAGAAAAGAUACCCAGAAUGGCUAAUGGAGUGUUUACCUUUAUUUCAGAGAGUUGUUUAAAGCCCUUAAAUUCCUAAAGAAAAUAAAAAUGUUCACUUAUGUUGGGUAAUUCCUGUUGUAUUGGAGUCAAAGUUAUAUCAGUUUUUCUACAAGGCUCCACCUGUAAGAUUCCUCAUCAAAGAACCCUUCAUAUCAGAUCAGAAGAUAGACACACAAUGAUAGAGAAACUCAACAGAUCAGGCAGCAUCUGAUUAUGGAGAGCAUUAUGGAGAGCAUUAUGGAGAGAAGGCAGCAUUAUGGCAGCAUUAUGGCAGCAUU